rnacentral:rRNA from 1 species
GAUGAACGCUGGCGGCGUGCCUAAUACAUGCAAGUCGAGCGAACGGACGAGAAGCUUGCUUUUCUGAUGUUAGCGGCGGACGGGUGAGUAACACGUGGAUAACCUACCUAUAAGACUGGGAUAACUUCGGGAAACCGGCUCUAAUACCGGAUAAUAUUUUGAACCGCAUGGUUCAAAAGUGAAAGACGGUCUUGCUGUCACUUAUAGAUGGUUCCGCGCUGCAUUAGCUAGUUGGUACGGUAACGGCUUACCAAGGCAACGAUGCCUAGCCGACCUGAGAGGGUGAUCGGCCACACUGGAACUGAGACACGGUCCAGACUCCUACGGGAGGCAGCAGUAGGGAAUCUUCGGCAAUGGGCGAAAGCCUGACGGAGCAACGCCGCGUGAGUGAUGAAGGUCUUCGGAUCGUAAAACUCUGUUAUUAGGGAAGAACAUAUGUGUAAGUAACUGUGGACAUCUUGACGGUACCUAAUCAGAAAGCAACGGCUAACUACGUG